rnacentral:rRNA from 1 species
AUUGAACGCUGGCGGCAGGCCUAACACAUGCAAGUCGAGCGGGGUUUUCGGACCUAGCGGCGAACGGGUGAGUAAUGCGUAGGAAGCUACCCGAUAGAGGGGGAUACCAGUUGGAAACGACUGUUAAUACCGCAUAAUGUCUACGGACCAAAGUGUGGGACCUUCGGGCCACAUGCUAUCGGAUGCGCCUACGUGGGAUUAGCUAGUUGGUGAGGUAAUGGCUCACCAAGGCGACGAUCUCUAGCUGGUUUGAGAGGAUGAUCAGCCACACUGGAACUGAGACACGGUCCAGACUCCUACGGGAGGCAGCAGUGGGGAACAUUGGACAAUGGGCGCAAGCCUGAUCCAGCCAUGCCGCGUGUGUGAAGAAGGCCUUCGGGUUGUAAAGCACUUUCAGUAGGGAGGAAGGGUUAAGUGUUAAUAGUACUUAACUUUGACGUUACCUACAGAAGAAGCACCGGCUAACUCUGUGCCAGCCGCCGCCGUAAAAC